rnacentral:tRNA from 1 species
GGGCGUGUAGCGCAGUCCGGUAGCGCACCUCGUUCGCAUCGAGGGGGUCAGGGGUUCAAUUCCCCUCACGUCCA